rnacentral:rRNA from 1 species
AGUGAACGCUGGCGGUAGGCCUAACACAUGCAAGUCGAACGGCAGCACAGUAAGAGCUUGCUCUUACGGGUGGCGAGUGGCGGACGGGUGAGGAAUACAUCGGAAUCUACUUUUUCGUGGGGGACAACGUAGGGAAACUUACGCUAAUACCGCAUACGAUCUACGGGUGAAAGCAGGGGAUCUUCGGACCUUGCGCGAUUGAAUGAGCCGAUGUCGGAUUAGCUAGUUGGCGGGGUAAAGGCCCACCAAGGCGACGAUCCGUAGCUGGUCUGAGAGGAUGAUCAGCCACACUGGAACUGAGACACGGUCCAGACUCCUACGGGAGGCAGCAGUGGGGAAUAUUGGACAAUGGGCGCAAGCCUGAUCCAGCCAUACCGCGUGGGUGAAGAAGGCCUUCGGGUUGUAAAGCCCUUUUGUUGGGAAAGAAAAGCAGCAGGUUAAUACCCCGCUGUUCUGACGGUACCCAAAGAAUAAGCACCGGCUAACUUCGUG